CUUGAUGGAUGCUGGAUCAUUUCUGUUGCAUUUUGGGAAUUUCUGCUUGGACAUAUCUAAUGAUUCUCAUUAGAAUGUGGAUGUACUUGUUGGUCAUUUAGCAAGGCCAAAAUCAACAGCCAAUUUGGAUACCAUCAAGACACCUGAAACCUUAUCAUGAGCCAGAUGCCAAGGAAGAGAUUCCGGGAGGAUCCCGAGGACCCACCAGUUGCAGCCAUGUCGUGGCUGAUGCUGAGGAGGACCCCAAAUGUCAUGAGCAACACCUGUCAAACACAGCCAUCCACCUGGGGACAGAUCAAGAAGCUGUUACAGAUGGUGGAAGGAAACCUGAGGAAACCGGAACAACCAGUCACACAUUUCCUGAAUGUUGAUGGCUUUGCAGAAGUUCAUUCUAAUUAGGCCAUUUGGUUACCACUUACAGAGACUACCUAAAAGAAAUGAGAAAUGGUGAACAGAUACGAGGCACAGCUGAAGGCAGAUACAGGGAAUUUCUAGCCCAGCGCUAAGAGAGACAGACGGAGAGAGAAAUGUAUGUGUGUGCACAUAAAUAUCUGAAAAUAACAAAGAAACUCCGGGAAUAAAAACCAGAAUGAUCAGCUUUCAAAAAACCAAGGAAAAGAAUGAGAAAGGAAAUGUAGUAUGUGAAUAAAUAGACAUAAAAAACAAAGUACAGAACAAGGUGAGAGAAGAUU